rnacentral:rRNA from 1 species
UAGAUACCCUGGUAGUCCACGCCGUAAACGGUGGGUACUAGGUGUGGGUUUCCUUCCUUGGGAUCCGUGCCGUAGCUAACGCAUUAAGUACCCCGCCUGGGGAGUACGGCCGCAAGGCUAAAACUCAAAGAAAUUGACGGGGGCCCGCACAAGCGGCGGAGCAUGUGGAUUAAUUCGAUGCAACGCGAAGAACCUUACCUGGGUUUGACAUGCACAGGACGUGCCUAGAGAUAGGUAUUCCCUUGUGGCCUGUGUGCAGGUGGUGCAUGGCUGUCGUCAGCUCGUGUCGUGAGAUGUUGGGUUAAGUCCCGCAACGAGCGCAACCCUCGUCCUAUGUUGCCAGCGGGUUAUGCCGGGGACUCGUAGGAGACUGCCGGGGUCAACUCGGAGGAAGGUGGGGAUGACGUCAAGUCAUCAUGCCCCUUAUGUCCAGGGCUUCACACAUGCUACAAUGGCCGGUACAAAGGGCUGCGAUGCCGUAAGGUGGAGCGAAUCCUUUCAAAGCCGGUCUCAGUUCGGAUUGGGGUCUGCAACUCGACCCCAUGAAGUCGGAGUCGCUAGUAAUCGCAGAUCAGCAACGCUGCGGUGAAUACGUUCCCGGGCCUUGU